rnacentral:rRNA from 1 species
CCUACGGGUGUCAGCAGUGAGGAAUAUUGGUCAAUGGACGAGAGUCUGAACCAGCCAAGUAGCGUGAAGGAUGAAUGCCCUAUGGGUUGUAAACUUCUUCUAUAUGGGAAUAAACUGUUCCACGUGUGGGAUUUUGUAUGUACCAUAUGAAUAAGGAUCGGCUAACUCCGUUCCAGCAGCCGCGGUAAUACGGAGGAUCAGAGCUUUAUCGGGAUUGAUUGGGUUUAAAGGGAGAGUAGGUGGAUUGUUAAGUCAGUUGUGAAAGUUUGCGGCUCAACCGUAAAAUUGCAGUUGAAGAUGGCAGUCUGGAGUACAGUAGAGGUGGGCGGAAUUCGUGGUGUAGCGGUGAAAUGCUUAGAUAUCACGAAGAACUCCGAUUGCGAAGGCAGCUCACUGGACUGCAACUGACACUGAGGCUCGAAAGUGUGGGUAUCAAACAGGAUUAGAUACCCCAGUAGUC